GAGGGAAAGUUGCAAAGCACUUUGAAGAGAGAGUUAAAGAGGACGUGAAACCGGUGAGGUGGAAACGGACAGAGCUGGCGUAUCUGGCCUGCAUUCAGCCUUGGAGCAUCUGGCGUUGUGGUGUUGCUCUCCAGAUUGGGACAGCAUUGCUUCUGCCGGGUGAACCGUGGUGCAUUUGCAGGUGGAGUGCGCCGAGGCGCCUGAGUCAGCGGCAUGAGCUUGGUUCUGAGGCCAGCCUUGCAAAAGGUCUGGUACCCGUGCUGGGGGAGUGCUGUUUGACUUGGGUGGUGGUAUGGGGCAAUGGUUUCGGGCUCGUGUGGGUGCCGAGCUGGCAGUCGGUGGCGGUCGCAUGCGACACGUGCCAGCGGUCAGUUCGGUCCUGCUCGAGCUCUCACAGCCCGUCCUCGGUGUAAAAGGCAGUCAUCUGUCCGACCCGUCUUGAAACCCGGACCAAGGAGUUU
rnacentral:rRNA from 1 species